rnacentral:rRNA from 1 species
UCUAACAUGUGCGCGAGUCAUUGGGAUUUUUUUAAACCUAAAGGCGCAAUGAAAGUGAAGGUCGUUCCUUAGCGUCGACCGAGGGAGGAUGGCUCGCGUCACGAUGCGAGCCCGCACUCCCGGGGCGUCUCGUGCUCAUUGCGAGCAGAGGCGCACCCAGAGCGUACACGUUGGGACCCGAAAGAUGGUGAACUAUGCCUGGUCAGGACGAAGUCAGGGGAAACCCUGAUGGAGGUCCGUAGCGAUUCUGACGUGCAAAUCGAUCGUCGGAACUGGGUAUAGGGGCGAAAGACUAAUCGAACCAUCUAGUAGCUGGUUCCCUCCGAAGUUUCCCUCAGGAUAGCUGGCACUCGCUUGAGCGAGUCUCAUCUGGUAAAGCGAAUGAUUAGAGGCCUUGGGGCCGAAACGACCUCAACCUAUUCUCAAACUUUAAAUGGGUGAGAUCUCUGGCUUGCUUGAACGCUGANAGCCACGAGAGCAAAUUAAUGCGAUGGAUCAGAGUGCCAAGUGGGCCAAUUUUGGU